rnacentral:lncRNA from 1 species
GAUCCUACGUGACAUGUGAGGCAUCACCUUGAGGCUAUGCAUUGUACAUGCCCUUAACAGAAUGGUCGGAAAGAACCGUGCAAAGUUGCCAAUAUGAAGCCACACCCAAAAAAAAUCCCAGGCAAGAGUGACCUUGGUAAUCUAAUCUCCUUUGCAUCAGUAACAAUAUUGGUUGCAGAAUAAACAAAUGGGAUAACAAUCUUUAGCCCUACAACAAUCAAAUCGGAAGUAGCACAUAAUAAUGAUACACAAUCUAGUCGCCUAAACCGCCACCCACACCUUGUAAGGCCUACGCCCCCUUCAAAAACGGAUCCAUUACACAUAAGAGAAGAACAGGUACGGUAGCUUUGUUAAAUAAGACCGUCUUUCCCGCAAAGCCCCUACGGCCACAGCUAUCUUGGCAGAGAGAGAUGCUCUAGGUUGUCUUGGACUUGGCGGCCUUCUUCUUGGCCUGCCUCUUGGGGACCGAGUUCUUCAUGCCCAGGAAGAAGAGAAGGGCUCCAAACAGUGCCAGGUUCUACAGUUAAAAGGGAUCACGAGUGGUUAGCUACCAUGGGACAUUCCUUGUUCAACAGACAUGCAAAAACAGGUGAAUAUUUGCAUCAUACCUGUGUGAACUUCAUGAAGAUCUGCACGAAUUCAGCCUUCUCCAUGUCGUAGUUGUAGAAGUCGUAGACAACAGGCGUGAUGAAAGCAAGGUAGAGGGCCUGCCGAAACAAAUACCUUUCAUUAGAAAAGCGCACAACAAGGAAGCAGAGACAUAGCAAACGCAGCACAUAUGAACGUAGUGGGAACAGGAUCGGUAAUUCAUGAGGUCUAAGGUGACUAAAACUUCAAUGGGUCACACUUAUCAUAUCACGGUGUCCACAGAAACAAAUAAGGAAGUUAAGAAUCGUGUACUCAUUAGGACAUCAUACAGCAAAAUGUGCGCAAAAGCAGCACCAGAUAGAACCAUAAUAUUCACAAGGCACAAUUAAAUGGGCAAACAAGCAGAAUGCAGGUUUUGAUAAUAUCUGCAGCGCAUUUAUAUCAGAAGCCAGGAUGGUACCAGAUGGGCAAACCACAACAGUGACAUUAGGCACUUGCCAAAACAUUAGAGGAAACAAGUGCAGACGACAAGGAGUACUUUACAAAAUGUACACAUCUUGUAAUAUAAACAAAUGGUAUGGGAGUAUAACAGUUCCUGAAAGCAAAACACCAUGAAAUUUAGAAGAACAAAAUCUUUGUGGCCAGAUUUGAUAGAUCUAGAAGAACAGAAAUGCAGUUGCCCUAGCUAGGUGACCAGUAGUCUAAAGCAAUAUGCUCUUGUUUAAAUUCAAAAGAACAGCCAAAUGACAAUGCCUAAUGCAAGAUAAUAUUCAGUAGCUUUUCGGUAGCAAAUAUUUAUGAGAUAAAUGGCGAUAUUUGAAUACAAUGAAAUAAGGCAUUUGUGCAUGCACGACCCUACAUUACUAUGGAGUAUAGCACAAGAGAAAUUCCCUCAUUACUCUAGAUAUGAAAAUCAAUUUUAGCCAUGUACACUUGACAUAAAUGGAAUGCGUAGAUCACAACAAGAAAUACUAUACAGCGUAACAACAGAUCAGUACAUACCAGGAGAUAAGCACCAAAUGAACUGCUGACGAUAAACAGGAGACCUCCCAGACCCUUCAGACCAAUGGUAGCGGCAAUGACAUGCUUCAACU